AUUGAACGCUGGCGGCAGGCCUAACACAUGCAAGUCGAACGAGUGGCGGACGGGUGAGUCAUGUCUGGGAAACUGCCUGAUGGAUGGGGAUAACUACUGGAAACGGUAGCUAAUACCGCAUACCAGCGGAUUUGACCAGAUGGGAUUAGCCAGUAGGUGGGGUAAAGGCUAACCUAGGCGACGAUCCCCAGCGGGUCUGAGAGGAUGACCAGCCACACUGGAACUGAGACACGGGCCAGACCCCUACUGGAGGCAGCAGUGGGGAAUAUUGCGCAAUGGGCGCAAGCCUGAUGCAGCCAUGCCGCGUGUAUGAAGAAGGCCUGCGGGUUGUAAAGUACUUUCAGCGGGGAGGCGUUACCCGCAGAAGAAGCACCGGCGAACUCCGUGCCAGCAGCCGCGGUAAUC
rnacentral:rRNA from 1 species